ensembl:lncRNA
GCCAAGUUGAACUUUUAAUAAUUGUUUUAUUUUAAUUGCAAACUGUGGUACAAUGUUCAGUAAAACCCUGAGGUUAGCUCUGCUGGUCAGAGCAUGGUCAUAAGUUUGAUCCCUGUACACACCAUUCACUUAAAAGUUGGACUUGAUGAUCCUCGUGGGCCCCUUCCAACACAGAAUAUUCUGUGAAAUCUUGCAGCAGAGAAAUAAGGAAUAAUGUGUGAGCCACAUGGAACAAAUCAGAUGUCAGAGGAGCUGCUCUGCUAUCAGCGGGUUUCUGUAACAUUAUCACAUCCUUAUUCAUCGGGUUAUGCUCCUCACAGGUGUAAGCACUACAGAUAGAAUGAUAAAGAACCUUCAGCUGUGCUUCAGGCUUGGAAAACAGUGGUGCUGUUGCAAUGAUGCUUUUUCUCUGCAUGUUUACUGGACAAAAUCCCAGAACUCAUGGAAGGUGUUUUUUCCUGCCUGUGUUAGUGCCCCUGACAUUACCAAGAAUGUCCUGGAAGUGGUACAGACAGAAUAGUGCUGAGAAGCACAUAACAGAUCCAUGGGAAGAGUGUCAAGAUACAAAGGGAUGUGUUCUUCACUGGAGAAAUCUGCUGCGUGAGCAGUGUGAAGGGGGCCAUAUGGGCGUGCAGGCUGUUUCAUCAAGCACCAGAGAUCUCUGAUGAGCAGGGGAAAGCAGAGGAACUCUGGAGGUCCUUGCAGAAAUAAUUCAGAUCUGUUUGCUGUGCCUGAGUUCAUUCUGGAGCUGGUUUCCCAUGUCUGAAUGAUGCAUGGAUAAGUAAGAAGUAUCUCUCUAGAACCCAGUUUAUGCAUGCAAAAUCUGAGAUAAUGCUGUUCUCCUCCAGAAGGCAACUUGAGAAAAAGAAAACAACCAACCAAACCACAGCCUUAUAAAAAGUUGAUUUUUUUAAAUACCUUGAUUUUCCAUUUCUUCUUUCCCAGAUUUUUGUUGAACACUUUAUCAAAUACACAUGUAUUCAUUUAAAGUUAUCUAUUUGACUGCUAAUUUCUUUGUAAAAAUCUUUGCAAGAAUAAGAAUCAUAUCAUUAUAGGUGCUGAUUGGACUGGAAUAAUAUCUCAAACUCAGUAGUUGUCCUUUUGAUUGAAUGUAUCUUCUGACUCAAGGCUAUGUGUAACUGCAGUUGAAAGAGCAGGAAGGAAACUAGAUUCUACUGAUUGUUUUAAUGUAACUGCUAGAAAUCAAGGGAAAAGCUUUAAUUUUCUUCAGAGAUACAGAAAUCAGAUACAAAGGAUGAAAAGAUACUUUUCAGCUUUAAAUGUGCUUUUUCUGUUCUGAUGCGUCACUUGGCAUAUGUCAAAAUAAUGUAACUGCAGUGGAAUUUAAAAUCAGGGAGCCACUGAGUGGUUUGGUACAGCAGUAAUUGUUUCCUUUUCAAGUUCUUAUGAAUAAGUAUCAUGAGUGACAGCAAUAACUUUUAGCUGAGCUACCAAUUGCCAGAAGGGCUGUAUCAUGACCCUCAUUAGUGACGAGGUUGGGCUGGCGAGGUUCUGUUCAAAAUAAUACAGUGUAAUUGCUGUUUACUCCAGUGGCUGUGCAGGAGAGCAAAUUUGGAAUAAAAUGCUGAAGUUAAAAAGGGGGAUUUUUUGA